rnacentral:rRNA from 1 species
GAUGAAGGACGUGCUAAUCUGCGAAAAGCGUCGGUAAGGUGAUAUGAACCGUUACAGCCGGCGAUGUCCGAAUGGGGAAACCCAGUGCAAUUCGUUGCACUAUCGUUAACUGAAUACAUAGGUUAACGAGGCGAACCGGGGGAACUGAAACAUCUAAGUACCCCGAGGAAAAGAAAUCAACCGAGAUUCCCCCAGUAGCGGCGAGCGAACGGGGAGCAGCCCAGAGUCUGAAUCAGCUUGUGUGUUAGUGGAACGGUCUGGAAAGUCCGACGGUACAGGGUGAUAGUCCCGUACACCAAAAUGCACAGGUUGUGAACUCGAAGAGUAGGGCGGGACACGUGGUAUCCUGUCUGAAUAUGGGGGGACCAUCCUCCAAGGCUAAAUACUCCUGACUGACCGAUAGUGAAUCAGUACCGUGAGGGAAAGGCGAAAAGAACCCCGGCGAGGGGAGUGAAAAAGAACCUGAAACCGUGUACGUACAAGCAGUGGGAGCACCUUCGGGUGUGACUGCGUACCUUUUGUAUAAUGGGUCAGCGACUUAUAUUCUGUAGCAAGGUUAACCGUAUAGGGGAGCCGCAGGGAAACCGAGUCUUAACUGGGCGUUAAGUUGCAGGGUAUAGACCCGAAACCCGGUGAUCUAGCCAUGGGCAGGUUGAAGGUUGGGUAACACUAACUGGAGGACCGAACCGACUAAUGUUGAAAAAUUAGCGGAUGACUUGUGGCUGGGGGUGAAAGGCCAAUCAAACCGGGAGAUAGCUGGUUCUCCCCGAAAGCUAUUUAGGUAGCGCCUCGUGAACUCAUCUUCGGGGGUAGAGCACUGUUUCGGCUAGGGGGUCAUCCCGACUUACCAACCCGAUGCAAACUACGAAUACCGAAGAAUGUUAUCACGGGAGACACACGGCGGGUGCUAACGUCCGUCGUGAAGAGGGAAACAACCCAGACCGCCAGCUAAGGUCCCAAAGUCAUGGUUAAGUGGGAAACGAUGUGGGAAGGCACAGACAGCCAGGAUGUUGGCUUAGAAGCAGCCAUCAUUUAAAGAAAGCGUAAUAGCUCACUGGUCGAGUCGGCCUGCGCGGAAGAUGUAACGGGGCUAAACCAUGCACCGAAGCUGCGGCAGCGACACUAUGUGUUGUUGGGUAGGGGAGCG